UAUGCACAUGUGUACAUUUAUGUGUCCUGCUCUCAACAAAUUCUCUUCUAAGUUAUAGAUAGCAAUUGUUUUUUAAGUUUUUAGCUAAAGGACAUAGUUGGCCAGUUAAUGCAGAUGGAUUAUUAUUCCCAUUGAAUAAACCUAGCUUAGAGUGCUUUGGGGUAAUUUAAGCAUGUUGCCUACUAGUUAUAGCUAAUAAUUUCAGCUUUGCUCUGCAGGAGACAACUACGUUUUUGUGACAUGAACAAAAUCACAAAAGACGUACGAGCAUUAUUUAGCCCCUAUCCUGGAGUUCUUUGUUGAUGUGUAGUGGCCUCUCAACAUCCCUGAGUGAUGCUUGGACGGGAUCACUCUGCCCUAUUCUGAAGUGAGAGAUUACCUGAGGCCUCUAUGUGAACUGACUCAACCCUGGCUAUGUUGAUCUGGAAGAGAGGACCAUUUCCACCACUGACUGUAGUAAGCUCCAUGAGGACUCCCUCUGUCCAGGUUCUUUUCUUUCAUAUAUGCCAUAUGUCAUGGUCUUGAGCCUCUUCUAGAUAUCUAUACUUCUAAAUAUCUAGAUUUCUAAUCAGUCUGUUAAUUGGAGGGUUGAACAGAUGAUAUCAUUAUUGGCACUAGAGAGGAUUUAUAUUAGGAAAAACAUACAAAUUUUAUCAAAUUGAAUAUGUCAUGAGGUUAUGAUAGUAAAUGAUCAAAAUUAUAGAGAAUAAAACCACAAACUUCAGCCUUCCUCUUGGGAACUGGACCAGCCCUACACCAAAGAUUCUCAACUUGUGGUUGUGCCUCAUAUAUUUAAAUCCCUAAGCCUGUGCAAAUAUUUGUAUAUGAGUUCUUUUUCCAUUGAUCAAGGGUCCAGUUCUUAUUGAUUCCUAAGAGAGUGUAAGCCCCCCCCCAACCCUUUCCUUGUACUAUUUUUGAUAGAGACAGACUGCUUGCUCUAUAUUCAGGUCUCCUGCUAAACUUCUGACUUCUUUAUCCCCAGGUUCAUGAUGCCACUGCUUUUCUGAGGAAUAAGAUUUUUCAGUCACAUAAUUUUGAGGAGUGUUGGAGCUGAAAUACAAACCCAGCAGAACCAGUACCCCUUAUGUUUUGGGUUGCUCUGUUCUUUUCUCUAUACAGGAUCACCCUUUGGGCAGCAGCCCUUUUUAGGUGCACUAUUAUUGCCCUUUGAAGAAUCAUCCUUGUAUAGUAACUGCUUCCUAAGCAUCCUGCCUUCACUGUACUCCAGUAACCUUCCCCAGCCCUGAAGCCUAGAAGCAACCUCUCCAGACUGCUCACUCAGGGCUUUCCCAUUGCACAGCUGGCUGCGGAAAGCAGACCUUUAUCAUAACUGUGUAUUCUAGUCGGCAUAAAUGGACAAGCCUUGCAUCUGGACCAUCUCCAGGAAAUCCAUCCCAAACCCUGAAUGGUCCUGGCCCUGCUCCAAAACUGUACUAACCUCCCACAAAUUGUGAUUCCAGACACGUUUAUACCUUGGCCCCCAGGAUAAUGGAAGCCACAAAAGAGGCAGAAAUUAAAAUGUCCAUCCAGCUGGGCCCACAAUGUGGGCCAGUGAUUACAAUAGAACCAACUGUCUCUUGGGGCACCUGAGGGUAGCACACCUGUGCUUUCCAUAGUAGAAACAGAAUCAUCCAGAGAUAGUUCCUACAUGCUUAGCUAUUGUAAUUAUGAUGUGCUACUUAUCAACCAAGAUUUUAAUGAGCAAUUGGAAAAAAAAAGACCAAGUACAAAACAAUUAUGAGAAUUCUGGUGACCUUUGUCACACACCUUCCAUUGCCAUUUUAUGAAAACUAAACAACCCAAAUUAUUGUUUGAUGGAGGCUGUAAGACAAGAUAGAGUAUUGUGAAUCUCUACCAAGAAGAGUGAGGACCACUCAUAUCUUCCCAGUGACCUCGGGUCCUGAAAGGGAAUCAUCUUCCUCGGGGCCAAGAGGUUUGAUUCAGCCACAGUCCCAGCUGAGAUUGCCAGAGGAGACCUACAAUAGGAAACUUACUGGCUUUGCUAGGGAAAGAAAUAUCUUGGACCUGUGGGGUCUUUACACUGAAGCCAUAUAGGAGGAAAAGGGUGUUGAGGGCAUGGAAAGUAAAAGAGGGAUAAGAGGUCCCUUAGACACCAGGAGAGCUGAAAAAAAUCUCCCAUGUCUUUAAUGUUGGUCGCUACAAUAAUAAAGCGAAUUCCAAAACCAUAUGGCUUUAUCCUUUUCUAAGAAAGAGAUCAUUUAGUAGACUCACAAAGGAUCUAGCUUUUAGGAAGUCAUAGCCUUGCUAGGAAUUCAUCAUUUUAGUGGACUGAAAUCUACUGGAGCUACAGGUAACUCCCAUUGUGUAAUACCGCAUCAAUCUGACAGCUCCACAUACAGACAAUGAUUACGGCUUAUUCGUUCCUUCUACCGCUCAAUAAAUAUUUAUUGAGUGCUCACUAUGUAUAAGUAGCUCUUUUC
rnacentral:lncRNA from 1 species